UUCUGUCCCUAUUUUGAAACCAUCUUCAAAGGUUGAGAACCACUGGUUUAGAAUUAUUUUUCUGCAUAAUUCCAUAAGUCAUGUUCAUUUGAGUGACUAUUGUUUUAAAUGACUAUCAAUGUCCAUCAGCAUCACUGCUCAUUUGAAGAUUGCACACUUUCCCCGUGCUUUCCAUCACAGCACCAUAGAUGGCUUCCAACUUUUAUAAGGCUCUGACUAAAAGACCAAUAGUGCAUUCCUUUCUACAACCCAAUAGAUCAGGCAUGGGCAAACUAAGCCCCAGGCCCUCCUCAUUUCCCCUGUCCUUUUGGCAUAAGGACGUGGUAGCCCAUCACAUCCUUAUGCAGAAGGGACAGGGGAGGAAGACACACAGCAGCUGAGAGCCCUCUGGAGUGCUCUCAGCCACUGCAUGUUUUGCCCUCCUCCUAGCAUAAGGAUGGUGCAAGAAAUCCCAUCCUUAUGCUGAGAGGAUGGCCCGAGGAAGGCAUAUAGCAGUUGAGAGUCCUCUGGAGCACUCUUGGCCGUCACCUGUUUCGCUCUCCUCCUGGCAUAAUGCCAAGAGGACAGCUCAAAGAUUGUGGGCAGAUUAUCGGGACACGUCUUGUUUUCCUACCGACAUAAGGAUGGGCCAAGCAGCCCUGUCCUUAUGCCAGGAGGACAACCUGAGGAUGACCCGGGCCCUGCCCCACUCCCUCCUGGUCCCACCUUUUUCCAGCCCAUCCCCUCCAAGGCCCAUCCCACCCAGCAUGUGCCCAGCUGCCCUCCCUCCCAGCCGAGCCCUCUCGGCCAGGCCCACAAUGCAGCCCCAAGGCAAAAAAGUUUGCCCAUGUCUGCAGUAGAUGCUGGUAUCCAUUCAAUUUGUUGCAGUUGAGGGCAGAGAAACCAGUGGUGAGCAGUGGGUAAGGGUCUGACCAGUAGAGUCAAGGACAAUGCGAGAAUUCACACACAUGAAGAAACACAUGGACACACAUGCAGAUCCAGAUAUUCACCCAGACUGGGGAGAGAAAAUAGCCAGAAUUUAAGGCAGUCCCAUCUAUCCUUAUAGACCGGUCUCUGCUACCUUGGAAGACUUAAUAUUUGCUUCCACAGAGAUAUCAAGUAGACUGUCAUGCUUUGACCUUGCUUACUUUCAUGAAUUCCAUUAACACCUUAAAUUGCACCCAACAUGGGUGCCCUCCCAACUAAUACUUAGCAUGUUAACUUUUUGAAUCCUUGGAUAUUUUUGAGUAUAAUUAAUUUGGAGCACAAUUAAGCACCAUCCUCUCAUUCAUUUCAGUGGGUCCUGACAGAAUUGUACUGUUAAGGAAGUGGUAUAUCCAUGCUUUUGUAGCUGCUACUAAGGAUGUUACACAGAGGGGAGAAAUAGAAAGAAAUUCUGUUCCUGGUAUCAGAGAGUUAUUUCCCAUUUAAUUUUGUGGUACUUACUUUGAAAGUAGCUGUUAUACUCCAGACACUUUGUUUUUGUGGCUGCCACAAACUAUGUUGCAUUGGUUGAGGCUCGGUGAGAUAUUCAUUGAAAAACUAUAGCAAAAUGUGCUGCUGGAUGUCCUGCAAAAACAAAGUUUUUGCAGUUUAAUCAACCUUUUCCAUAUAUUUAUGCUAGAACCAAUUAGGAAAUGACAUUUAUAAUCCAGGAACAAAAAUCGUGUUACAUAGUGAUAAUGUUUCCAUAAGUGAAUCAAAGAGGUAAAAUAUCAAUUGAAUGGUUCAAAUUGACCAGAUAGGUUUGACCAGUCUAUAGUUCAAACUUAUUUGUAACUUUUGGAUUGGCAUAGUGAGGAAUUUCAUACUUCCCAUCAAUCCUAAUUUAGUAGGGAUGAUUCCAAUCCAUCUUCUGUCAUCUCAUUUUUCCAAUAGCCUUAAAAUGUACCAGUUUCUCUCUCUUCCUCCCACCUUCCCCCUUCCCACUUUACUUUGAUUACUGCAAACUGAGUUCAGAGUCCAAAACUUAUUUGCACUCAACUCUACAGUGGGAAGGAAGAGGGUAGAAUCUUGUUCUUCCCAGUAGAUUCGGGGAAAAGAAAAUUGCUGCAUCCUCUCUUAAGUUCUGUCUUCUUUCUCAUUCAUAACUUUUGUCAUCGUGAACACGUUCUGAUGUUGUUUGGCCACAAGUGUCUCAAUUUUAAUCUAUGAAACAGAGGGUAUCAAAUUCACAUUUUUUUAAAGUGACUAAUAAUAAAAUAUAAUAUACUUUAUUUAUAUUUCACCCUAUCUCACCAAGGGGACUCAGGGCGGAUUAUGGUACACAUAUAUGGCAAACAUUUAAUGCCGUUAUGCAAAAGACAGUACAUAAACAGAGGUAAAGGCUUCCCAUCUUUUCCCAUCUCCAGUAUCUGGAGGCUGUGCUCGCACUCCUGCCAUUUUGGGGGGUGGCGGUGGUGUUGCUCCAUCUUCCAUGCCAAGGAGCCUUGUUGUCCUUAGAUGUUCUCUUGAUCUAAUCACCAGCAUGUCCACAUGAGCACCUUUUAUUACCUCCCCGCAAAAGAAGUACCUACUUAUCUACUCACAUUGCUGUUUUCAAACUGCUAGGUGAGCAGAAGCUGGGCCAACAGUGGAAGCUCGCCCCAACUAUAAUGGUAAACUGUUCCAUUAGAAUAACUUGUCUGCUUUAAUGACCCUUUAUCAUCUGAAGGUGGCCAAUCCCCUCCUACACAAGAAGACACUUUCCAAACUUGAGUGUUUUCAAGUGUGAUUAAAUAGGACUUAGGUUUCUGAUCUGAGAUCUGCUAACUGAGAUACUAACUACAUCUUGACAUCAUCCCAAUUUUCAGUUAACCUUUCUCAAAAUCAGUUACAAUAUUGAAGUGAAUUUCAUUAUUAUUGUGGGAUGGAGUCCCAGGGCAAUUACUGGAGAGUGCAUUUCACGAAGCUAAACUAAACAUGAUUAUCACAGGAUUGCAUAGGUUAUUAAGAUCUGGGAACUGGAUUCCUUCAACAUUUUGACCCUUUCAUCCUCUUUGAUAAGGUUGAGUAUUCCAUAUCCAGAACUCCAAAAUUGAAAAUAUUGAAAAACCCAAAACUGUCCACAUGGCUGUCUGAAAUAGUGACCCCUUUGUUAUCUGGUGGUUCAGUGGACAUACACACAUAAACAUGCAUACAAAAUUGGGGGAAAAUGAAAUACAGAACAAUUCAGGUUUUCAGGGUUUUGGAUAAGAUAUUCUCAACCUGUAAUAUAUUUUGCCACCAGGAAGUACUACAGGAGACACAGGCUUAAGUCCUGUUGUUGGUUCCAACUAGGGUAAAGCUACAUGAUUCAAUGGGAACUCGAUAACUUGAGUCUGCUCUGGGACAAACAAUGGGCUUUGGACUAUACACAGUCUCAGGAUCCAUUAUUCAUAUUGCCAUUUUAAAAGAAAAAAACCAUACUAUGUUUCAGCACAGUGUUUUCUAACUGUUUUAAGAGCCGUUACAAGCUUGGUAAUGGAAUAUCAUGUACUGAAAUAUUGUGCAGGCCAAUAUGUCUGCCAAAAUCUACCAGCAUCUCUAGAGCUUUACCUACACAGAAGUGGCAUUAUCUGUUCAGUCUUCAGGUCAAAGAUGAUCACAUUUUAAAUUGCUUGUCGAUAUGAUUCGUAUUGUUAAAACCGAAAUUGGUGUCAAAUGUCUGUGUUUGUUGUGUCUGUAUUUUAUUUUGACAAUCUUGUACUUCUCAGCCUUCUCAAAGUGAAAGCAUUAUCAAAAAGUUGCAAAUUAAAAAGUGUGAAAUCAGUAA